UGGCAACCCCGCCUCCUCCGUGUC
rnacentral:piRNA from 1 species